UGAGGAAUAUUGGUCAAUGGGCGAGAGCCUGAACCAGCCAAGUAGCGUGCAGGAUGACGGCCCUAUGGGUUGUAAACUGCUUUUAUAUGGGAAUAAAGUGAGGGACGUGUCCCUUAUUGCAUGUACCAUACGAAUAAGGACCGGCUAAUUCCGUGCCAGCAGCCGCGGUAAUACGGAAGGUCCAGGCGUUAUCCGGAUUUAUUGGGUUUAAAGGGAGCGUAGGCUGUUUGUUAAGCGUGUUGUGAAAUGUAAGAGCUCAACUUUUAGAUUGCAGCGCGAACUGGCAGACUUGAGUGCGCACAACGUAGGCGGAAUUCAUGGUGUAGCGAUGAAAUGCUUAGAUAUCAUGACGAGCUCCGAUUGCGAAGGCAGCUUACGGGAGCGCAACUGACGCUAAAGCUCGAAGGUGCGGGUAUCGAACAGG
rnacentral:rRNA from 1 species